GCCCUCGUAGCUCAGGGGAUAGAGCAACUGCCUCCUAAGCAGUAGGUCGCAGGUUCGAAUCCUGCCGAGGGCG
rnacentral:tRNA from 1 species